UUAUCCGCCGGCGACCGGCGCACGGGUGCGGAACGCGUAUGGAACCUGCCCCUGUCAGGGGAAUAGCCCAGGGAAACUUGGAUUAAUGCCCCAUGGUACCGCGAUAUCGCAUGAUAUUGUGGUUAAAGAUUUAUCGGACAGGGAUGGCCAUGCGUACCAUUAGCUAGUUGGUAAGGUAACGGCUUACCAAGGCAACGAUGGUUAGGGGCCCUGAGAGGGGGAUCCCCCACACUGGUACUGAGACACGGACCAGACUCCUACGGGAGGCAGCAGUGAGGAAUAUUGGACAAUGGUCGGAAGACUGAUCCAGCCAUGCCGCGUGCAGGAUGACGGCCCUAUGGGUUGUAAACUGCUUUUAUACGGGAAGAAACCCGCCUACGUGUAGGCGGCUGACUGUACCGUAAGAAUAAGGACCGGCUAACUCCGUGCCAGCAGCCGCGGUAAUACGGAGGGUCCGAGCGUUAUCCGGAAUCAUUGGGUUUAAAGGGUCCGUAGGCGGGCCUGUAAGUCAGGGGUGAAAGUUUGUGGCUCAACCAUAAAAUUGCCUUUGAUACUGCAGGUCUUGAGUCAUGGUGGGGUUGCCGGAACAUGUGGUGUAGCGGUGAAAUGCAUAGAUAUCACAUAGAACACCGAUCGCGAAGGCAGGUGA
rnacentral:rRNA from 1 species